UACGAAGGGGGCUAGCGUUGCUCGGAAUCACUGGGCGUAAAGCGCACGUAGGCGGCUUUUUAAGUCAGGGGUGAAAUCCUGGAGCUCAACUCCAGAACUGCCUUUGAUACUGAGAGGCUUGAGUCCGGAAGAGGUAAGUGGAACUGCGAGUGUAGAGGUGAAAUUCGUAGAUAUUCGCAAGAACACCAGUGGCGAAGGCGGCUCACUGGCCCGGUACUGACGCUGAGGUGCGAAAGCGUGGGGAGCAAACAGG
rnacentral:rRNA from 1 species